CAUAUACUUCAUAUUAACUCUAGUGAUGAUUGGGCUAACCUAUGUGUUUUUUGUUCUGCUCUUGAUGGGUAGUCUGUAUCGCCAUUUGUUUGUUGCCAUAUUGUUUAGCUGUAUGUCCAGGAUUUGGGCAAAUAUCCUUAGAGGAACCACUUUUGUUCUAAGUUCCUAAUUGUUUUCGGAUUUGAUCAUUUUUAGCCUUACAGUAUUUUUUCAGUAUAUCAGUUUUGCUAAUUU